UAUAUUAAAGGGCUGCAGUAUUUUGACUGUACAAAGGUAGCAUAAUCAUUAGUCUCUUAAUUGGUGACUUGUAUGAAGGAUUUGAUGAAAUAUAUACUGUCUCUUUUUGAUUUAUAAAAUUUAAUUUUUUAGUUAAAAAGCUAAAAUUUAUUUAAAAGACGAGAAGACCCUAUAGAGUUUUAUAUUUAUAUAAAUUAAAAUUUUUUAUAAGAUUUAAAAUUUCAAUUUAUAUGAAUAUUUUAUUGGGGUGAUAGAAAAAUUAAAAUAACUUUUUUUACAAUUUUACAUUAAUAAAUGAAUAAAUGAUCCGUAAUUUACGAUUAUAAGAUAAAAUUACCUUAGGGAUAACAGCGUAAUUUUUUUUUUUAGUUCAAAUAAGAAAAAAAGUUUGCGACCUCGAUGUUGGAUUAAGAUAAAAUUUAAAUGCAAAAGUUUAAAAUUUU
rnacentral:rRNA from 1 species